GAUGAACGCUGGCGGCGUGCCUAAUACAUGCAAGUCGAGCGAACAGACGAGGAGCUUGCUCCUCUGACGUUAGCGGCGGACGGGUGAGUAACACGUGGAUAACCUACCUAUAAGACUGGGAUAACUUCGGGAAACCGGAGCUAAUACCGGAUAAUAUAUUGAACCGCAUGGUUCAAUAGUGAAAGACGGUUUUGCUGUCACUUAUAGAUGGAUCCGCGCCGCAUUAGCUAGUUGGUAAGGUAACGGCUUACCAAGGCAACGAUGCGUAGCCGACCUGAGAGGGUGGUCGGCCACACUGGAACGGAGACACGGUCCAGACUCCUACGGGAGGCAGCAGUAGGGGAUCUUCCGCAAUGGGCGAAAGCCUGACGGAGCAACGCCGCGUGAGUGAUGAAGGUCUUCGGAUCGUAAAACUCUGUUAUUAGGGAAGAACAAAUGUGUAAGUAACUAUGCACGUCUUGACGGUACCUAAUCAGAAAGCCACGGCUAACUACGUG
rnacentral:rRNA from 1 species